rnacentral:misc_RNA from 1 species
AGACAAUUAUUCGCAAACAGGGUGUUAAUCGAUGACUUAUCACGAAGAUCUUAUAAGUUACGAAAUUCGACGUUAGAUGUCGUUACGAGUCAAAACGAUUCCUUGAUUUGUUAACAAAACUACCGACAGAUAGCGUUUCCAGUGCGUUCUUUUGUGUGUUAUAAAAAAAAAAGAUAAUUAAAAAGAAUAAAAAUCCCCGCAUUUUAUACCGGUCACGUUACGAUAUUAUUUUGAUAUAUUUAAGUCUUUAAUAAAGUUCAUAUAAUCAUAUGAUAAAUCAAAUUAACGUCGUUGUAUUUGAAUCAAUCUUGUGAUGUAACAUCUACGAAAGUUAUAAAUAUUUAGCAAUUUUGUUUAGUACCAACGAAUAAACACAACUAUAAAUGCAAAGAAUAUUUGCUUACGUUCGAUCUUUGAAUUCAACUUUAAUUCAAUCAUUCGUUCCGUACUUUACAACUAGAACCAUGACAAGCAAUAAUGAUACUAAGUCAUCUUUUGGUGAUACAAAGCAGAAAUACAUGAACAUGUCGUUAGAAGAAAAAAAGAAAAUAUUUAAAUCAACUACAAAUAGCGUGAAUCAAAUACCAACAUGGGCAGAAUAUUGGUCUAAAAAUAAAUCAUUUAUAAGCGUUAAAGUUUCGAACCAAAAUGCAAAGGCUGGCAUGGAAGUUGCUAAAAAGAUUUCCUUUUGGAUGGGAGACAUUACCACUCUCGAGGUAGAUGCAGUUGUCAACGCAGCUAAUUCGGUCUUAAUACCUGGCGGAGGAGUCGACGGUGCUAUUCACAAAGCUGCUGGACCUUAUUUGAAAGUAGAAUGUGCCACGCUAGGGAGAUGCCCUGCCGGAGAAGCUAGAAUCACUGGAGGAUACAUGUUGCCAGCUAAAUAUGUCAUUCAUACCGUUGGUCCAAUAGGAAAGAUACCUGAGGUAUUGGAGCAAUGCUAUAAGAAUUGUCUCGAUUUGGCGAAAGCAUAUGGAUUAAGAACCAUAGCAUUCCCAUGCAUAUCUACAGGAGUUUACGGUUACCCUCAAGAAGCAGCCGCCCAAGUAGCCUUGUCUACAGUUACAAAUUAUCUUAUUAAUGAUAUAGAUAGCGUGGACCGAGUAAUCUUUUGUCUCUUUCUAAACAGUGAUAAAGAAAUAUAUGAGAAAUUGUUACCAAGUUAUUUUGAUCUGAACUGAAUACGACUAGCAGUUAAGUUUAUAUUUAGGUAUCAUUCAAUUAGUUAGAUCCAAUCAAAUAAAAUUGUAUUUAAAUAUCUUUAAUAUUAUUCUCAUAAAAUAUUAAAUCGAAUACAGUGGAUUUUCCUUGAUCCCAUCCGCUGAUAGAGAUUCCUUGUGACAUUAACGUUCUAUCUUUCUCUUUCUCUUUAUUUACAGAAAAACAGGACAUAGUCUCCAGAAAAUAAAUAUUAACAUUUCUAAUCUAAUUAGAUUAUUGUAUCCAAGAAGAAAUUUCAAUUCGAAAAUUCGCGGCAUUCGAAAGAAAACCAAUGGCGAGCUCGAGUCAGCGAUCAAAGCGCCAGAGUUUCGGACGCUGACCGCGUCUGGUAUCCAACGACGGCGCGCCGCCAUUUUGAAAAAUCGAAAGUGUGGUAAUGUCUGUAUGUGGUAAUAGGUGGGGGACUGGGUCGUUAAUGUCGAUGAUCAUCUUGUGCGGAAAAUCCGUCACAAAUGGAGUCUAAUCUAAGGAAAGAGUUGAAAAGUUAGAAAACAGCCGUCAAGAAACCCACAGCAGCACACCACCACCACCACCCAAUAGUAGUAAUAGUAGUAGUAGUAGAAGUCGUCGUAGAGUCGUAGUAGCAGAAGCAGUAACGAAGCAAGAAGUGAGAACUGGCUUUGCUAGCGUGGAUUGAGCACUCGUAUUGGAUCUCGUGCAUGUGUGCGUGGGUCUUUGCCAGUGUGCAGCGGGAGGAGAAAAAGAAAGAGAGAGAAAAGUAUAGUCGGCUUGGCGAGGUCGCCGGUGUGCCUGGCGAGAGGAACCCAUCGCGUCUUGAGUCUUUCAAGGAGGACUCAUCGUCCAACUAGAAGAAGAAGAAGAAGAAGAAGCCAGAAGAAGAAGAAGAGAAGAGAAAGAAAAGGGAAAGAGGAGAGAAGAGUUGGAGCAAAGUGACUGGUACGACAAAGAAUACAAAUCAAAAUAAAAAAAAGAAGAAUAAGGAAAAGGAUGUAACUUCUAACUCAAUAUACAUUAAUACAUAUAUAUAUAUAUAUCGUUCUUUCUCUCUCUUCUUCUCUCUCUUUUUUUCGCUUGGACGAAGGCGGACAGAGUCCCGUAAUCCUGAACGGCCGCCGCCACCGCUUUGUAGGUUACUGACGGACGCACGCGGAGCGAGAGGGAGCUCUUCGCAGCGCUAGCGACACAGAAAGAGACGGGUAGAGCUUCUUUCGAGAGAACAAGAAGAAGGAAGGAAGGAAGGAACGAAAGAAA